GAUGAAGAACGUAGCGAAAUGCGAUAAGUAAUGUGAAUUGCAGAAUUCAGUGAAUCAUCGAAUCUUUGAACGCACAUUGCGCCCGCCAGCAUUCUGGCGGGCAUGCCUGUUCGAGCGUCAUUUCAACCCUCGAGCCCCCCCGGGGGCCUCGGUGUUGGGAGACGGCACACCAGCCGCCCCCGAAAUGCAGUGGCGACCCCGCCGCAGCCUCCCCUGCGUAGUAGCACACACCUCGCACCGGAGCGCGGAGGCGGUCACGCCGUAAAACGCCCAACUUUCUUAGAGUUGACCUCGGAUCAGGUAGGAAUACCCGCUGAACUUAAGCAUAUCAAAAGCGGAGGA
rnacentral:misc_RNA from 1 species